UCGGAGGGAAACCAAAAACAGAAAACAGAAACAAAAUCAACUAACAAAACGAUCUCAACGAAAUGGAAGCCCAACGAUUUCAACACGAACAACACGACAACACUUUGAUGUAUGAGAGCUCCUCCAGUCACUUGGAGACUUUGAGAAACUGAAACUGAUUCUCAUCAGCGGCAUUGGAGGCGACGUUGGCGGCGACGGCGGCGUCGGAGGCGGCAUUGCCAAAAGAGGCGCGCGCGUUGCGCAGAAUUUCCAGCGAAUUGCUGCACGAGCUGUAUGAGAAAAAGGCCUCUCCAGCAUAUUAACGAGACAAACGCAAUGGCUAACGAUGACAACGUGAACACACACACACACACACACACACACACUUUUCAGAAUUAACUUGUAACACGUUGGUUUACUGGCUCAAGAAUCUGUAAUACAACAAAAAUUAUAAACUCAUUGGCAGCACAAGAAGUCAAGUAAGUUUUAUCAUUGGUAGACUUUGCUAGAGAA